UACGUAGGGAGCAAGCGUUGUCCGGAAUCAUUGGGCGUAAAGCGCGCGUAGGCGGCCCCGUAAGUCCGUUGUGAAAGUCAAAGGCUCAACCUUUGAAAGCCGAUGGAUACUGUGGGGCUAGAGUCCGGAAGAGGAGAGUGGAAUUCCUGGUGUAGCGGUGAAAUGCGCAGAUAUCAGGAGGAACACCCGUGGCGAAAGCGGCUCUCUGGGACGGUACUGACGCUGAGACGCGAAAGCGUGGGUAGCAAACAGG
rnacentral:rRNA from 1 species